GACGAACGCUGGCGGCGUGCUUAACACAUGCAAGUCGAACGAUGAAAGCGGGAGCUUGCUCCUGCUGGAUUAGUGGCGAACGGGUGAGUAACACGUGAGCAAUCUGCCCCGAACUCUGGGAUAAGCGUUGGAAACGACGUCUAAUACCGGAUACGACGCGCGAAGGCAUCUUCUGCGCGUGGAAAGAAUUUCGGUUCGGGAUGAGCUCGCGGCCUAUCAGCUUGUUGGUGAGGUAACGGCUAACCAAGGCGACGACGGGUAGCCGGCCUGAGAGGGUGACCGGCCACACUGGGACUGAGACACGGCCCAGACUCCUACGGGAGGCAGCAGUGGGGAAUAUUGCACAAUGGGCGCAAGCCUGAUGCAGCAACGCCGCGUGAGGGACGACGGCCUUCGGGUUGUAAACCUCUUUUAGUAGGGAAGAAGCGAAAGUGACGGUACCUGCAGAAAAAGCACCGGCUAACUACGUGCCAGCAGCCGCAGUAAAAC
rnacentral:rRNA from 1 species